rnacentral:rRNA from 1 species
AACGAACGCUGGCGGCAUGCCUAACACAUGCAAGUCGAACGAGACCUUCGGGUCUAGUGGCGCACGGGUGCGUAACGCGUGGGAACCUGCCCUUAGGUUCGGAAUAACUCCCCGAAAGGGGUGCUAAUACCGGAUAAUGUCUUCGGACCAAAGAUUUAUCGCCUUUGUAUGGGCCCGCGUUGGAUUAGCUAGUUGGUAGGGUAAAAGCCUACCAAGGCGACGAUCCAUAGCUGGUCUGAGAGGAUGAGCAGCCACACUGGGAGUGAGACACGGCCCAGACUAUUACGCGAGGGAGCAGUGGGGAAUAUUGGACAAUGGGCGAAAGCAUGAUGCAGCAAGGCCGCGUGAGUGAUGAAGGCCUUAGGGAAGUAAAGCUCUUUUAUCCGGGACGAUAAUGACAGUACCGGGAGAAUAAGCACCGGCUAACUCCGUG